rnacentral:snRNA from 1 species
AGCCAGUGGCGCGAAGCU